GAUACUUGAAGCUAGGGCAAUCCAAGUAAGAUAGCUUCAUCCUCAGGCAACAGGUUUAUGUUAUCUUAUCAUGGAGUCAUUUUUAAGUUUGUGCCCAACGCCUUCAUCCUUAGAAUGGCUGCCCAGAUGGCAAGCCACCGUACUCAGGCGACUGCCGCGCUAGGUAUUCUCGACCACUGCUGCAGUUUUUCAUUGCCGUGCUUAUUCCAUUUGCACCAACCUUGCUAUUUAGUAAAAUGAACGUCUCUGUUUCUUCUACUACAAUGACAUGAUAAGAUUACCUUAUCCCUUUCAGCAGGGUGCUCCAACUUUUGAUGCUGGCGAAGCUUUUGGAAUGAUGGCUACAUAAUUUGUUAGUCUCCGUUGGAAGCUUAAUUAAACUGAGGUAAAUAUGCCAGAUUCUUUUGUCAAAUAAUAACAUGACUGUCUAUUUUGUUCUUAGGACCAAUAUCUGUGCCUAUCAAUGAAAUUUUGAGAGUAGUUUUUGGUGCCUCUAUGUAACCCUGAUAGCAGCUUCUCUGAAGGUUCAGAUGUGUGGCAAAGGAUUUCAAUUUUCCUGUUUACACAAAGGAAACUUGAGGAAGGUUCAGAUUUUUCAUGCUCGGUGCUGUGCUCUCAAGGUUACAUAGACAAAAAUGCCUCCUAUUUACACAACGGCAACCCGACGAAGGUUCAGAUUUCUCAUGACUGGUUCAAUGGGUAUUUCAUGCCUGUGCC
rnacentral:lncRNA from 1 species